rnacentral:rRNA from 1 species
ACUGGUCAAUCUAGUGGCGAACGGGUGAGUAACACGUGGGUAACCUGCCCAUCAGAGGGGGAUAACAUUCGGAAACGGAUGCUAAAACCGCAUAGGUCCUUUAACCGCAUGGUUGAAGGAGGAAAAGAGGCGCAAGCUUCUGCUGAUGGAUGGACCCGCGGUGCAUUAGCUAGUUGGUGAGAUAACGGCUCACCAAGGCCGUGAUGCAUAGCCGACCUGAGAGGGUGAUCGGCCACAUUGGGACUGAGACACGGCCCAAACUCCUACGGGAGGCAGCAGUAGGGAAUCUUCCGCAAUGGACGCAAGUCUGACGGAGCAACGCCGCGUGAGUGAAGAAGGUUUUCGGACCGUAAAACUCUGUUGUUAGAGAAGAACAAGUGCUAGAGUAACUGUUAGCGCCUUGACGGUAUCUAACCAGAAAGCCACGGCUAACUACGUGCCAGCAGCCGCGGUAAUACGUAGGUGGCAAGCGUUGUCCGGAUUUAUUGGGCGUAAAGCGAGCGCAGGCGGUUCCUUAAGUCUGAUGUGAAAGCCCCCGGCUCAACCGGGGAGGGUUAUUGGAAACUGGGGAACUUGAGUGCAGAAGAGGAGAGUGGAAUUCCAUGUGUAGCGGUGAAAUGCGUAGAUAUAUGGAGGAACACCAGUGGCGA